AACGCGGCGGCGAUGUCCGCGAGCCAGGCGAGCACCGCGGCUGCAGCGGCGGGGCCUCACGCGCGGCAGGGCGUCCUGGGCUUCGGCCUCCCUCCGGUUCCCGGGAAGCGGACUCGCGGGAAGCCCGGGAGCAGCAGCAGCAGCAGAGGCGGAGGCUCUGGCACGUCUCUCUCCUCCGCCUCAGCAUGAGCCAGGGGAGGCCAGGCGGCCGGGUGGCUGGAGGGGGGUCCGCUGCCCAAGAAUGGGAAUUCUCUUCACCAGGAUGUGGAGACUGUUCAAUCACCAGGAGCACAAAGUUGUCAUUGUUGGGCUGGAUAAUGCAGGGAAAACUACCAUCCUUUACCAAUUUUCUAUGAAUGAAGUUGUACAUACAUCCCCUACAAUAGGAAGUAAUGUAGAAAAGAUAGUGGUUAAUAAUACAUGUUUCCCAAUGUGGGACAUUGGUGGCCAAGAAUCUCUUAGUUCUUCCUGGAACACUUACUAUACUAACACUGAGUUUGUAAUAGUUGUUGUGGACAGUACAGACAGAGAAAGGAUUUCAGUAACUAGAGAAGAACUCUAUAAAAUGUUAGCACAUGAGGACCUGAGGAAAGCUGGACUGCUGAUUUUUGCUAAUAAACAAGAUGUUAAAGAAUGCAUGACUGUAGCAGAAAUCUCCCAGUUUUUGAAACUCACUUCUAUUAAAGAUCAUCAGUGGCAUAUCCAGGCAUGCUGUGCUCUUAAACUGGCGAGGGAUUGUGGCAAGGACUUGAAUGGAUGAUGUCACGAUUUAAGAUUAGAUGAUCUCUACUGACCUCGUCUCAUAGACUUUGUAUAAACGAAGUGCUGGACUUUACCUGAAAGCAGCAAAAAUUAAUGGUUUAGGUAUAUUUAUAAUAAACUGAUUUAAACUUUUUCUGUAAGAAGAAAAAUUAAGACCACUUAUUUGAAAACAAAGAUGAAGUCUCGCCUUCCAAUUUGCUUUCUCAUUAGUUCCUUCCAAAGUAAGGUCUUAAAGAUGUGAUUGACAUUUUUCUCAUAAUGAAUCCUCUCAGGACAUUGUGUAGCCUGUGGUAAGUACAAAGGGAGAGGAAGACAAUUUUAAGUUUGAGAACUUUUUCAUCAGUAUAACCCUCCCCAGUUGAAUGUUACUCUCUUUUUGUUCCAUUAAGUCAGAGUACAGAUCAGCACAGAUACUCAGUUUCCAAUAUUUCAAAAUGUAAUGCUACUUAUGAAAAGUAUUUUGUGUAAGGUUGCAUACGUAUUGUGUAUAUAGCUCAAGUUCAAGUUAAUGGCUUUGACUUAUGUUCUAAAGAAAAGUGAAUAACACAAAAAUUAAUAAUAUCCUUAAAUAUAGCCAUAAUGACAUGAGUACUGGCAUUGGUGGUGCCAUUUUGAACUUUUCCCCUUGUGUUCUCUGUAUUGUACUAACCAAUCCCCAAAAAUCAUUGAGCUGCUUUAGAAGAUAGAAGAGGAGAGGAAGAAAGUUUGACAUUUUGUACAUGUUUUCUUGUUGAUCAAAUAACAUACAGAAACAUGUAAUGCAACUGAGUGGAAUAUAUAUCAAAUAUAUCAAGUCCUUGGCUUAGUAUUUCUAAUGGGCAGAAUUGCACAGUGAGCAAUUAUUAUCAGAUUAUUAACUUUAUUGGUCCAAUGCCAUCUGUGUUAUUGAAUAAACUGUUAAUC